AGUGAACGCUGGCGGCAGGCCUAACACAUGCAAGUCGAACGACAGCACAGUAAGAGUUUUCUUCUACGGGUAGCGGCUGGCGGACGGGUGACGCAUGCAUAGCCAUCCUCUUUUUCGUGGGGGAUUACGGGGGGCCACUUACGCUAACAGCGAAUAUGUUCUACGGGUGAAAGCAAGGGUUAUUCGGAGCUUGCGUGUUUGUUUGAGACGAUGUCGGAUUAGCUAGUUGGCGGGGUAAAGGCCCACCAAGGCAACGAUCCGUAGCCGAUCUGAGAGGAUGAUCGGCCACACUGGAACUGAGACACGGUCCAGACUCCUACGGGAGGCAGCAGUAGGGAAUAUUGCGCAAUGGGCGAAAGCCUGAUCCAGCCAUGCCGCGUGAGUGAUGAAGGUCUUCGGAUUGUAAAGCCCUGUUGUUAGGGAAGAAAAACUGUGUAAUUAAAUACCGCUGUUCUGACGGUACCUAAACAAAAAGCAACGGCUAACUACGUG
rnacentral:rRNA from 1 species